AUACGUAGGGGGCAAGCGUUAUCCGGAUUUACUGGGUGUAAAGGGAGCGCAGACGGAAGAUCAAGUCAGGUGUGAAAGGCAUGGGCUCAACCUGUGGACUGCACUUGAAACUGGUCAUCUCGAGUGUCGGAAGGGCAGGCGGAAUUCCUGGUGUAGCGGUGAAAUGCGUAGAUAUCAGGAAGAACACCGGUGGCGAAGGCGGCCUGCUGGACGAUAACUGACGUUGAGGCUCGAAGGCGUGGGGAGCAAACAGGAUUAGAUACCCUGGUAGUCCACGCAGUAAACGAUGAAUACUAGGUGCUGGGUCCCACAGGGGUUCGGUGUCGCCGCUAACGCAUUAAGUAUUCCACCUGGGGAGUACGUUCGCAAGAAUGAAACUUAAAGGAAUUGACGGGG
rnacentral:rRNA from 1 species